GCCACAAAAAUCCGUAAGGUUACGUCCCCUCACUCUCUGCGCAAAUUUUCGCUUAACCGUAAUUUCGGUCCAUUUAGAAUUUCAAUUCCCUUCUCUAACGUUUUUUCUUCCCGUCGUUUCCGUUUCUCUCGAAAUCCUUCAUAACGAUUACAGCAGACUCCUCUUUACAGUAGAAACCCGAUCGCUUUAGGAAAUGAUCGAGAAUCGAAAUUGAAAAUGGACAUCUAUGAUCAGCUGAUUUGCAAGAUCAACGGGUUGUCGACUGGAUUGCUUCUCCAGCGGUUAACCAGAUACCCAGAACCUUGCUUACCGACUGCGCAAGUGGCUAGAUGGACUAGCCUUUUGCAAGUGGAACUGUGAUCAUGUGUAUGUUUCACUGCUAGAAUGCAGAACUUGCUUCCGGACUAAAGAAAGGAGUUGGCUAUAAUUCCUCACCAUCCAACUCUGGCUGCCCUGCUGUCAAUUUGAUCUUUUCGACUCUCACUUAACCCAUGCUUCCUUUCAUAUUGGCAAGUGGCAAGGAGGUUCAGGAAGCUAUCGUUGUGCAAAUGUAGUUUUCAUGGGUAAUUGUUAAU